rnacentral:misc_RNA from 1 species
GAUGAAGAACGUAGCGAAAUGCGAUAAGUAAUGUGAAUUGCAGAAUUCAGUGAAUCAUCGAAUCUUUGAACGCACAUUGCGCCCCUUGGUAUUCCGAGGGGCAUGCCUGUUCGAGCGUCAUUAUAACCCCUCAAGCUCAGCUUGGUGUUGGGGCCUGCUGCACUGGCAGCCCUUAAAAUCAGUGGCGGCGCCAUCUGGCUCUAAGCGUAGUAAUUCUUCUCGCUAUGGAGUCCUGGUGGAUGCUUGCCAUCAACCCCCAAUUUUUUUCAGGUUGACCUCGGAUCAGGUAGGGAUACCCGCUGAACUUAAGCAUAUCAAUAAGCGGAGGA